rnacentral:lncRNA from 1 species
GGUCUUGAAAAUUACAUUAUGUGAAAGGGGGGGGGGGUCUUCGGAUUUUUCCCAACAAAAGGAUUGUUUCUCGUUAUAUACUAUGAACAGCCAAAAGAGAUGCAUAAAAUGCCCUUUAAACUGGAACACUGGGUAUUAACAUAACGAGUAAAGCAUAAAAAACAUAAUAUAAAAGUGGAUGUAGGCGAGACAAGCAUAGGCCAUAGAGUAACCUACCUAAAUAGAUUGUAAAAUAUUUAACUAGUUUCAUCAAAUUUUAUACCUCUUCAUUAAUCACUUGCUCUCCUAAGCUUUGUCCUAAUCGGGCCAGCCAUCAAUACAAAACUAUAUUUUCAAGCGGUACAAGAGGGGGGUCUUUAAAAAGUAUAAAAUGCAUAAGGGGGGGGGGCCUUGAAAAGGCAUAUAAUUUUUGAGGGGGGCCCCAAAAUUUUUUUCAAAAUUUCUAGUUUCUCCUCCAUCNNNNNNNNNNNNNNNNNNNNCCCCCCCCCCCCCCCCCCCCCUUGCCAUAUUUAAUGACCGGUCCCUUAGCCAACCUCGUUCCCAGGCUCUUUGCUCUUGGGAAGCAUUCCCAAGAGCAAAGAGCCUGGGAACGAGGUUGCCCUUAGCUUCAUAUUGCACUGAUUUAAUUGAAAUAAGAAAAGCUUGC